CAGGAUGAACGCUAGCUACAGGCUUAACACAUGCAAGUCGAGGGGCAGCAUGAGAUUAGCUUGCUAAUCUUGAUGGCGACCGGCGCACGGGUGAGUAACGCGUAUCCAACCUUCCCCAUACUAGAGGAUAGCCCGGCGAAAGUCGGAUUAAUACUCUAUGUUGUAUUUAGAAGACAUCUGAAGAAUACCAAAGGUUUACCGGUAUGGGAUGGGGGAUGCGUCUGAUUAGCUUGUUGGCGGGGUAACGGCCCACCAAGGCAACGAUCAGUAGGGGUUCUGAGAGGAAGGUCCCCCACAUUGGUACUGAGACACGGACCAAACUCCUACGGGAGGCAGCAGUGAGGAAUAUUGGUCAAUGGGGCGAGAGCCUGAACCAGCCAAGUAAGCGUGCAGGAUGACGGCCCUAUGGGUUGUAAGCUGCUUUUGUACGGGAAUAAAGUGCGGGACGUGUCCCGUUUUGUAUGUACCGUAAGAAUAAGGACCGGCUAAUUCCGUGCCAGCAGCCGC
rnacentral:rRNA from 1 species